rnacentral:rRNA from 1 species
UGGGGAAUUUUGGACAAUGGGCGAAAGCCUGAUCCAGCAAUGCCGCGUGUGUGAAGAAGGCCUUCGGGUUGUAAAGCACUUUUGUCCGGAAAGAAAUCCUUGGCUCUAAUACAGUCNAGGGAUGACGGUACCGGAAGAAUAAGCACCGGCUAACUACGUGCCAGCAGCCGCGGUAAUACGUAGGGUGCAAGCGUUAAUCGGAAUUACUGGGCGUAAAGCGUGCGCAGGCGGUUUGCUAAGACCGAUGUGAAAUCCCCGGGCUCAACCUGGGAACUGCAUUGGUGACUGGCAGGCUAGAGUAUGGCAGAGGGGGGUAGAAUUCCACGUGUAGCAGUGAAAUGCGUAGAGAUGUGGAGGAAUACCGAUGGCGAAGGCAGCCCCCUGGGCCAAUACUGACGCUCAUGCACGAAAGCGUGGGGAGCAAAACAGGAUUAGAUACCCUGGUAGUCCACGCCCUAAACGAUGUCAACUAGUUGUUGGGGAUUCAUUUCCUUAGUAACGUAGCUAACGCGUGAAGUUGA